rnacentral:tRNA from 1 species
GGAGAGGUGGCUGAGUAGGUCGAAAGCGGCACACUGCUAAUGUGUUAUCCGGCCUUAAAACCGGAUCGCGGGUUCGAAUCCCGCCCUCUCCG